AAAUACGAGAAAAGAAA
rnacentral:sRNA from 1 species